rnacentral:tRNA from 1 species
GGGGAUGUAGCUCAGAUGAUAAAGCGCUCGCUUAGUAUGCGAGAUGUACGGGGAUCGGUACCUCGCAUCUCUA